rnacentral:misc_RNA from 1 species
AGCAGCCGCGGUAAUUCCAGCUCCAAUAGCGUAUAUUAAAGUUGUUGCAGUUAAAAAGCUCGUAGUUGAAUUUCGGGAUCAAUGCGUCGGUCGUGCUUUCGGGUACGUACUGGUGUCAUUGGUUUCUCCUUUCUGACGAGCCGUGAUGUCAUUAAUUUGGUGUUACGGGUAGUUAGGACUGUUACUUUGAAAAAAUUAGAGUGUUUAAAGCAGGCAUUAGCUUGAAUACAUUAGCAUGGAAUAAUGAAAUAGGACGUUCGAUCCUAUUUUGUUGGUGUCUAGGAUCAACGUAAUGAUUAAUAGGGAUAGUUGGGGGCAUUAGUAUUCAAUUGUCAGAGGUGAAAUUCUUGGAUUUAUUGAAGACUAACUGCUGCGAAAGCAUUUGCCAAGGAUGUUUUCAUUAAUCAAGAACGAAAGUUAGGGGAUCGAAGACGAUCAGAUACCGCCGUAGUCUUAACCAUAAACUAUGCCGACUAGGGAUCGGAUGAUGUUAAUUUUUUAAUGACUCAUUCGGCGCCUU